GACGAACGCUGGCGGCGUGCUUAACACAUGCAAGUCGAACGGAAAGGCCCUGCUUUUGUGGGGUGCUCGAGUGGCGAACGGGUGAGUAACACGUGAGUAACCUGCCCUUCACUUUGGGAUAACUUCAGGAAACUGGGGCUAAUACCGUAUAGGAUCUCCCGCUGCAUGGUGGGGGUUGGAAAGUUUCGGCGGGUGGGGAUGGACUCGCGGCUUAUCAGCUUGUUGGUGGGGUAGUGGCUUACCAAGGCUUUGACGGGUAGCCGGCCUGAGAGGGUGACCGGCCACAUUGGGACUGAGAUACGGCCCAGACUCCUACGGGAGGCAGCAGUGGGGAAUAUUGCACAAUGGGCGGAAGCCUGAUGCAGCAACGCCGCGUGCGGGAUGACGGCCUUCGGGUUGUAAACCGCUUUCGCCUGUGACGAAGCGUGAGUGACGGUAAUGGGUAAAGAAGCACCGGCUAACUACGUG
rnacentral:rRNA from 1 species